UUUACUCUGUACGAGGAGCAAUGGGCAGGCUGUUGAUUAUGUCUUCUCUUUCCAUGGAGAGCUGGACUGUGCUGGUGAAGAAACAUUCUGACCUUCCACUGUGCAGAGAACAGACCUGCCAGAGAGCCUUGCUAUUUUUACUUCACUGCGAGGGGAUCUCAGGUUACAAAUUAUAUACGGAUGAGGUCUCCCCUUCGGAAGCUCCCUAUUUCAUCUCCCUUCCGUCUGCCUCUAUGGGGGUACUCCCCAACCCACCCACUCCCAUUCUCCAGCCCUGGCAUUUCUUGCUUGUCUACUGACUACAUCUGGAUUGAGCUUCAAUGCAGAAAUGGAGGGCACAUCUGAAAGUGAUUGCUCGCUUGGUUUUAAGUGGGUAAAUUCACUUCUAGUCCAGAUCUUUGAGAAGCCUUCCCAUAACUCCUUUCCUUUAUGAUCUGUGAGCAAAGAGAUGCUUUGGAGUAGAUGAAGAUGGUGAUAAGAUACUAGAUACCAAAUACGUACAACUUACAGAAUCCUGGCAGCAUCCAACAUGUUUCAGCAAACCAGAUCCUGCAUAAAGGCCAGGCAGGAGAUUAGUGUGAAGCCUAAUCUUCAACCUCUAAGGCUUCAGGCUAUGUCAGCAUUCACUCCAGGAAGACAUGUCCCUGCCUAUCAAAGAGCACUGGCAUUUGUUUAAUCCUUGUACUUUCUCAGUGCAUUGCCAGGUAGGUGGAUAGAAUGACUACGGGUAUUUGUGAGGACUUUCACACAGAGCCCUGGGACCUUCAAAGACUUCAGCUUUGGAGAAGAGCUUAAGGAAAGUUUUUGUUUUGUUUUGUUUUUGUUUUUAACCAGCAAAUGGUGAAGUUUAUUCUUACAGCUCCCUCUGUAUCCUGUGCCAUUAAGAUGCCAAUUGAUUGCUAAUUGCUCUGCAUUAUCCAUAAGCCAGCUACAAACAUGUUUAAUGGCAUGCUCUUUGUUGUAAUUUAGGAGCAGGGACUGCUGUCUGUCUCUUUGUUCUUCAGAACUUUUUUUUUUUUCCCUGAGCCUACAAAGUGUUUGGCAUGCAAGGGCCUGAGGAAGCUUAAGCAGAAACCAGGUCCCAGGAGGCAUAAUCCUGCCACACCCUAAAGUGGAUAGAAGGCUGUGCCUUGCAUGUGGAAGAUGUGUCAGCCAGAUUUGUGAGAAGUGCCACCACACUGCAAGCUAGCUCUGCCAGAGGAGAACGCCACUUGCUGAGGACGAACCUGGAAAUGGCCAAGAAAAUCAUGUUUUCCCUGGGUCUACUCUGGUUGCAAGCAUGAAGUGAAGCUGACAGAUUUGAGGAGCGAGUCAUUGUGGGUAGACCUGGUUUGGUUGGACAGGAGAAAUGAGCCCAUUUACUUCCCACCAAGAACAUGAAGAGGCUUCUGACCAGCAGAAAAAGCUGAGGAUUGGUGGCACUGAAUGAACACAUGUAAUGCCCCCGUCCUUGCUUUGAGAGCUUAUGCUCUCACUGUCUUGAAUAACGAGUACCUCGAGUAACCACAGAGUCUCAUCUAGACCCCUUUACCCCAUGCCUGAUGCAGUCCCCUUUUUUUCUGUCCAGUCCAAAGGAGCUCAGUGGGGCCCUGAACCCUAACUCUUAUGGAAUACAUUUGAUAUUUGAGAAUCAAUGAAUAAGGGCUACAGUAAGAUUCAAUCCUGGCCAAUAAAUUACCAACUGAAGAUACAGGAGUGUGUCUUUAAUAUGGGAGUUUAUGUUCAGCAAAUUAUUAAAGAAAGGACUCCACUGGUCAUUAGAUUCUACUAUAUUGAGUAUUCAGGCUUUUCACUAUAUUUUAAAACAUUUUAGAUAUAUUAAUUGUAUAAACGAUGAAUUUCAGUGGCACAGUCUUAUACAUUCAUAAGGUGCACUUUGAACAUUGACUGUCAGGCCCUCCUCUUUCUCUUGUCUUUACACUCCUAUAUAUGACCAAUGCCCUUCAGUAGUUCUGACUCUCAGCCAGGCCUACAUUAAGAACUUCUGUACAGGCAGCCUGCUAUCACUAGCAGUGACUCUGUGAGUGGGCCUGUGGCUCCUGGAUGACCAGGUUUCCUGAUAAAACCAACAGAUGCUGAGUGCCUUUAUCUUUGACAAACAUCACGAAACUUUGAACCCCUGUGCCUUUUCCUUCUUCCCGUCUUGGACCUCAGCAGACAUAUUUGCUGUCCUUGGCUCAGCGAUGGGAUUGGCCAUUCUUUGAAUUUACUCCUUCUUGGCCAUCUUCUCAGCAACAGCUGCCUUCCCAGCUUGACUUCGGUCUCCAUGAAUCCUAUGGAUAAAUCCAUAAGCUGAACGCACCUGUGCCUGGCAGCUGGAAAUUAUAAUCUCUCACUAUGUGAUGUACCUCCCUUCUUGAGAAGGGAGUAGGCAACAGAGCUUUAAAAUUAAUAUUUGAAUUGAACCAUUACUCUUUUUGUUCUCUUGAAAAAAAUCACGCCCAUCAAAAUUCUUCUCUCAGCAUGAUAUUUGGAUAUCACCAUCUAAAAUAAGUUUUUAUACUAAAGUAUAAAGGUCCACUAAGAUAUCAGUCAAAUAUGUGGCUCUUAUGAUUUUGGAGAAAGAGGCCUUAUUUACUUUGGUUUCCAUCUUCUGAAGAUUCUGUACUGGCAGGUCUGCAAUAUUCUGAUAUGGGUAUUUUUAUUCUUUUCUUCUUAUGGAUGAAACUAACUUGUCCAAAGUCUAAGGUUACAAGACGCCUCUGUAGAAACUCCACUUUUCUUUGACAGUUAAAUUUAGUAACUGGGUCUCCUCCCUCCUAGCCACAGGUAUGGAAGCUGACUCCUCCCCUUCACGUACUCUGCAGGAGCCCUGUAUUUAGCUUUGUUUAGACUCAUUACAGUCUCCAGAUAACACGGGAAAUAUUUCCCAAUGGAAAUUUUCCUUUUUGUGCAAACUUCAUAAGCAAAGAAUAUAAGGAGCUGUUGUUUAUAGUCUUUUUAAUUAAUGCAUUAUAACUAGGACCAAUUUGGUAUCUUAUAUACAUCUAAUUUUCCAUCUCAAUGUCCCAAAAUGAUGGUCAUUUGCAAUGUAUUGAUUAAAGAUACUGAUGGGUUGGAGUCCAUGAAGGCAGGACAAAGGCACAAGGCACGGCGGCAGGAACAGUGGACCAUGCAUACAGAUCUGUAAGGCGGAGGAAGAGAACACACUGACAAUUGUGCUUGGAGAAGAAAACAGAGGUUGAAUCUCC
rnacentral:lncRNA from 1 species